CAGUUCAGAUUGUAGGCUGAAACUCGCCUAUAUGAAGUCGGAAUUGCUAGUAAUCGCGGAUCGGCAUGCCGUGGUGAAUACGUUCCCGGGCCUUGUACACACCGCCCGUCACACCAUGAAAGUCGAUAACACCCGAAGCCUGUAGUCUAACCUUAGGGGGGACGCAGUCGAAGGUGGGAUUGAUAAUUAGGGUGAAGUCGUAACAAGGUAAC
rnacentral:rRNA from 1 species